rnacentral:rRNA from 1 species
CGACGCACCGGAGUGCGUAAGCACAGCCGGUGACGGAGCGGCGAACGGGUGAGUAACACGUGAGGAACCUGCCCCGAAGACCGGGAUAGCCCGGGGAAACCCGGAUUAAUACCGGAUACCCUCGUCGGGCCGCAUGGCCUGACGAGGAAAGGCCCCGACGCUUCGGGAUGGCCUCGCGGCCUAUCAGCUAGUUGGUGUGGGUAACGGCCCACCAAGGCUAUGACGGGCAGCUGGUCUGAGAGGACGGCCAGUCACACUGGGACUGAGACACGGUCCAGACUCCUACGGGAGGCAGCAGCAGGGAAUAUUGCACAAUGGGCGCAAGCCUGAUGCAGCGACGCCGCGUGAGGGAUGAAGGCCUUCGGGUUGUAAACCUCUUUCAGGAGGGACGAAAAUGACGGUACCUCCAGAAGAAGGCCCGGCCAACUACGUGCCAGCAGCCGCGGUAAUACGUAGGGGCCAAGCGUUGUCCGGAAUCAUUGGGCGUAAAGAGCUCGUAGGCGGCUCAACAAGUCGGCCGUGAAAACCCGGAGCUCAACCCCGGGACGCCGGUCGAAACUGCUGUGGCUAGGGUCCGGUAGAGGAGAGUGGAAUU